GAUGAACGCUAGCGACAGGCCUAACACAUGCAAGUCGAGGGGCAGCAUGAAAUUAGCUUGCUAAUUUUGAUGGCGACCGGCGCACGGGUGAGUAACACGUAUGCAACCUGCCUGUAAGCGGGGGAUAACCCGGAGAAAUUCGGACUAAUACCGCAUAAUAUCAUUGAUUCGCAUGUUUCAAUGACUAGAAAUUUAUUGCUUCCAGAUGGGCAUGCGUAUGAUUAGCUAGUUGGCGGGGUAACGGCCCACCAAGGCGACGAUCAUUAGGGGUUCUGAGAGGAAGGUCCCCCACAUUGGAACUGAGACACGGUCCAAACUCCUACGGGAGGCAGCAGUGAGGAAUAUUGGUCAAUGGACGCAAGUCUGAACCAGCCAUGUCGCGUGAAGGAUGACUGUCCUAUGGAUUGUAAACUUCUUUUAUAUGGGGAUAAAGUGUGAGACUUGUCUCAUUUUGCAUGUACCAUAUGAAUAAGCAUCGGCUAACUCCGUGCCAGCCGCCGCCGUAAGAC
rnacentral:rRNA from 1 species